GAUGAAGAACGCAGCGAAAUGCGAUAAGUAGUGUGAAUUGCAGAAUUCAGUGAAUCAUCGAAUCUUUGAACGCACAUUGCGCCCCUUGGUAUUCCAUGGGGCAUGCCUGUUCGAGCGUCAUUUGUACCCUCAAGCUUGCUUGGUGUUGGGUGUUUGUCCCGCGUUGCGCGUGGACUCGCCUUAAAGCGAUUGGCAGCCGGCAUAUUGGCCUUGGAGCGCAGCACAUUUUGCGCUUCUAGUCAUGAAUGUUGGCGUCCAUUAAGCCUAUACAUUUGCUCUUGACCUCGGAUCAGGUAGGGAUACCCGCUGAACUUAAGCAUAUCAAUAAGCGGAGGA
rnacentral:misc_RNA from 1 species